rnacentral:rRNA from 1 species
CCUACGGGUGGCAGCAGUAGGGAAUAUUGCUCAAUGGGCGAAAGUCUGAAGCAGCAACGCCGCGUGGAGGAUGAAGGCUUUCGGAUUGUAAACCCCUUUUGUUAGAGAAGAAAAUGACGGUAUGUAACGAAUAAGCACCGGCUAACUCCGGUCCAGCAGCCGCGGUAAUACGGAGGGUGCAAGCGUUACUCGGAAUGACUGGGCGUAAAGAGGGCGUAGGCGGGAUAGCAAGUCAGAUGUGAAAUCCUAGGGCUUAACCAUAGAACUGCAUGUGAAACUGUUAUUCUAGAGUAUGGGAGAGGAAGGUGGAAUUCUUGGUGUAGCGGUGAAAGGCGUAGAGAUCAAGAGGAAUACUGAUUGCGAAGGCGACCUGCUAGAACAUAACUGACGCUGAGGCGCGAAAGCGUGGGGAGCAAACAGGAUUAGAUACCCGGGUAGUC